rnacentral:rRNA from 1 species
CAGAGGUCCCAAGCGUUGUUCGGAUUCAUUGGGCGUAAAGGGUGCGUAGGUGGCAUGGUAAGUCGGGUGUGAAAUCCCGGGGCUCAACCCCGGAACUGCACUCGAUACUACCGUGCUCGAGUACUGGAGAGGAGACUGGAAUUUACGGUGUAGCAGUGAAAUGCGUAGAUAUCGUAAGGAAGACCGGUGGCGAAGGCUAGUCUCUGGACAGUUACUGACACUGAGGCACGAAGGCCAGGGGAGCAAACGGGAUUAGAUACCCCGGUAGUCCUGGCAGUAAACGGUGCGCGUUUGGUGUGGGAGGAUUCGACCCCUUCCGUGCCGGAGCUAACGCGUUAAACGCGCCGCCUGGGGAAUACGAUCGCAAGAUUA